AUUGAAGAGUUUGAUCAUGGCUCAGAUUGAACGCUGGCGGCAGGCCUAACACAUGCAAGUCGAGCGGUAGCACAGAGAGCUUGCUCUCGGGUGACGAGCGGCGGACGGGUGAGUAAUGUCUGGGAAACUGCCUGAUGGAGGGGGAUAACUACUGGAAACGGUAGCUAAUACCGCAUAACGUCGCAAGACCAAAGUGGGGGACCUUCGGGCCUCAUGCCAUCAGAUGUGCCCAGAUGGGAUUAGCUAGUAGGUGGGGUAACGGCUCACCUAGGCGACGAUCCCUAGCUGGUCUGAGAGGAUGACCAGCCACACUGGAACUGAGACACGGUCCAGACUCCUACGGGAGGCAGCAGUGGGGAAUAUUGCACAAUGGGCGCAAGCCUGAUGCAGCCAUGCCGCGUGUGUGAAGAAGGCCUUCGGGUUGUAAAGCACUUUCAGCGGGGAGGAAGGCGUUAAGGUUAAUAACCUUGGCGAUUGACGUUACCCGCAGAAGAAGCACCGGCUAACUCCGUGCCAGCAGCCGCGGUAAUACGGAGGGUGCAAGCGUUAAUCGGAAUUACUGGGCGUAAAGCGCACGCAGGCGGUCUGUCAAGUCGGAUGUGAAAUCCCCGGGCUUAACCUGGGAACUGCAUUCGAAACUGGCUGGCUAGAGUCUUGUAGAGGGGGGUAGAAUUCCAGGUGUAGCGGUGAAAUGCGUAGAGAUCUGGAGGAAUACCGGUGGCGAAGGCGGCCCCCUGGACAAAGACUGACGCUCAGGUGCGAAAGCGUGGGGAGCAAACAGGAUUAGAUACCCUGGUAGUCCACGCCGUAAACGAUGUCGAUUUGGAGGUUGUGCCCUUGAGGCGUGGCUUCCGGAGCUAACGCGUUAAAUCGACCGCCUGGGGAGUACGGCCGCAAGGUUAAAACUCAAAUGAAUUGACGGGGGCCCGCACAAGCGGUGGAGCAUGUGGUUUAAUUCGAUGCAACGCGAAGAACCUUACCUGGUCUUGACAUCCACAGAACUUAGCAGAGAUGCUUUGGUGCCUUCGGGAACUGUGAGACAGGUGCUGCAUGGCUGUCGUCAGCUCGUGUUGUGAAAUGUUGGGUUAAGUCCCGCAACGAGCGCAACCCUUAUCCUUUGUUGCCAGCGGUCCGGCCGGGAACUCAAAGGAGACUGCCAGUGAUAAACUGGAGGAAGGUGGGGAUGACGUCAAGUCAUCAUGGCCCUUACGACCAGGGCUACACACGUGCUACAAUGGCAUAUACAAAGAGAAGCGACCUCGCGAGAGCAAGCGGACCUCAUAAAGUAUGUCGUAGUCCGGAUUGGAGUCUGCAACUCGACUCCAUGAAGUCGGAAUCGCUAGUAAUCGUAGAUCAGAAUGCUACGGUGAAUACGUUCCCGGGCCUUGUACACACCGCCCGUCACACCAUGGGAGUGGGUUGCAAAAGAAGUAGGUAGCUUAACCUUCGGGAGGGCGCUUACCACUUUGUGAUUCAUGACUGGGGUGAAGUCGUAACAAGGUAACCGUAGGGGAACCUGCGGUUGGAUCACCUCCUU
rnacentral:rRNA from 1 species